UUCUGUUAGGUGAUGUAGAUUUCAGCAUUGAAGAUGUUGAUCAGGAUACAGAUACUAUCAGUCAUGAAUCAGAGAUCGUCUUAUGGCUGCCUGUCGUCUGUGUGCUUCUGCUACUGUUACUGGUGUCAAGUGUCUAUGUGUGUUGGAGAGGAACAGGACUGUGAAAAGGUUGUGGAAGAACUAAUAACCUGAACCAGGACUGGAUUCACAAUAGUGUUCAGGUCAGAAUCUCUCAGUUUGGUAGUUAGUAGUUUGUAAUUACCACAUAAGACUAUCACAUUCUCUUUUUUUCUUGCUUUCCAGGGUAAAAUGGAACAAGAUGAUUGGACACUGGCUGACGUUUUUUAUACACUGAUACCGUAAUUGAUUAUUUCAAAAUUCUUUUAUUCACUUAUCUUCAUCUUUUGUCUUAUUUAAUACAAUGUGUCUCUUUGGUAAUCAGAGUAGUUUGAUAACCCCUUUUUUUCAGAUGUGCUUCAAUGUGCAGAUUGCUAUGAAUUGUAUGUUUAACACUUAACUGUUUAUGUCAAUGCUUUAUGAUAUGUUCUGCCACUUUAAAUGUCUAACUUAUGCACAUGAAUAAUGACAAUACUUGCAAUGGCCUAUACUCUUGUAUUUUAUUGUGACUAUAUGGUAUCAAAAAGCUCCUCUCUCACAGCAGCCUUUUAACAAUGUUUCCUGUCUGUGAUUGUUGACUAAAUGUAGCUCAUGUGCCAGCAAUUUACAAAGCAAGUCGUCUCACGCACAUUGAACAGAGACACUCUAUUUAGAGAAAUACUUCUAAUAAAGUGAUAGCAG
rnacentral:lncRNA from 1 species